AGCUUACAGCGUAGAAAAGUCUUACUGCACCUGUGCUUGCACAAAGGUGCAGAAAAGACUUUGAGACGCGCCCCGAACAUGAGCAAAAAAGCGAAGCGAAGCUGAGUGAUAUGCGAAUGUACGGGAAGGAUUGUGUGAGUGCGAAGCACGUAGCAAUCCGGUAAGCU
rnacentral:sRNA from 23 species